CAAUAGCGUAUAUUUAAGUUGUUGCAGUUAAAAAGCUCGUAGUUGGAUUUUGGUUGAGAACGGCCGGUCCGCCGUUUGGUGUGCACUGGCUGGUUUCAACUUCCUGUAGAGGACGCGCUCUGGCUUCACGGCUGGACGCGGAGUCUACGUGGUUACUUUGAAAAAAUUAGAGUGUUCAAAGCGGGCUUACGCUUGAAUAUUUCAGCAUGGAAUAACACUAUAGGACUCCUGUCCUAUUUCGUUGGUCUCGGGACGGGAGUAAUGAUUAAGAGGAACAGUUGGGGGCAUUCGUAUUUCAUUGUCAGAGGUGAAAUUCUUGGAUUUAUGAAAGACGAACUUCUGCGAAAGCAUUUGCCAAGGAUGUUUUCAUUAA
rnacentral:rRNA from 1 species